rnacentral:rRNA from 1 species
GACGAACGCUGGCGGCGUGCCUAAUACAUGCAAGUAGAACGCUGAAGAGAGGAGCUUGCUCUUCUUGGAUGAGUUGCGAACGGGUGAGUAACGCGUAGGUAACCUGCCUUGUAGCGGGGGAUAACUAUUGGAAACGAUAGCUAAUACCGCAUAACAAUGGAUGACACAUGUCAUUUAUUUGAAAGGGGCAAUUGCUCCACUACAAGAUGGACCUGCGUUGUAUUAGCUAGUAGGUGAGGUAAUGGCUCACCUAGGCGACGGUACAUAGCCGACCUGAGAGGGGGAUCGGCCACACUGGGACUGAGACACGGCCCAGACUCCUACGGGAGGCAGCAGUAGGGAAUCUUCGGCAAUGGGGGCAACCCUGACCGAGCAACGCCGCGUGAGUGAAGAAGGUUUUCGGAUCGUAAAGCUCUGUUGUAAGUCAAGAACGGGUGUGAGAGUGGAAAGUUCACACUGUGACGGUAGCUUACCAGAAAGGGACGGCUAACUACGUG